rnacentral:rRNA from 1 species
UAGAGUUUGAUCAUGGCUCAGGAUGAACGCUAGCGGCAGGCCUUACACAUGCAAGUCGAGGGGUAACAGGGAAAAGCUUGCUUUUCCGCUGACGACCGGCGCACGGGUGCGUAACACGUAUGCAACCUACCUCUUACUGGGGGAUAGCCCAGAGAAAUUUGGAUUAACACCCCAUAGUAUCACCAGUUCGCAUGUUCAGGUGAUUAAAGGUUACGGUAAGAGAUGGGCAUGCGCCCCAUUAGCUAGUUGGUGAGGUAACGGCUCACCAAGGCUACGAUGGGUAGGGGGUCUGAGAGGACUAUCCCCCACACUGGUACUGAGACACGGACCAGACUCCUACGGGAGGCAGCAGUGAGGAAUAUUGCGCAAUGGACGAAAGUCUGACGCAGCCAUGCCGCGUGCAGGAUGACGGCGCUACGCGUUGUAAACUGCUUUUAUAUGCCAAGAAACCUUCGGACGUGUCCGAAGCUGACGGUAGCAUAUGAAUAAGCACCGGCUAACUCCGUGCCAGCAGCCGCGGUAAUACGGAGGGUGCAAGCGUUAUCCGGAUUUAUUGGGUUUAAAGGGUCCGUAGGCGGGUCAUUAAGUCAGUGGUGAAAGCCGGCAGCUCAACUGUCGAACUGCCAUUGAUACUGGUGAUCUUGAAUAUGG